UACAGGGGGGGGCAAGCGUUGUUCGGAAUUACUGGGCGUAAAGGGCGCGUAGGCGGCCUUCUAAGUCGAACGUGAAAUCCCCGGGCUCAACCCGGGGAACUGCGUCCGAUACUGGAAGGCUUGAAUCCGGGAGAGGGAUGUGGAAUUCCAGGUGUAGCGGUGAAAUGCGUAGAUAUCUGGAGGAACACCGGUGGCGAAGGCGACAUCCUGGACCGGUAUUGACGCUGAGGCGCGAAAGCCAGGGGAGCAAACGGG
rnacentral:rRNA from 1 species